UGCCCGGGGCGGGCUCUGCCCAGGGGAAGAGUCAGGGCAGAGCCACUGCCUCCCACUGGACCGGGCCAGACCCCCGUGCCCCCAGCUGCAGGCCAGGCCCAGGGGAGGAGCGGGAGAUCGGAUGCUGCCAUCAGGCCCCAUACGCUAGCAGAGGGAGAGGCCAGGCUGGGGUGAGGCCUCCUGGGGUGGGGAAAAUGGGUGCUGAGCUGCCAGCACCAGUGGUUGACCUUCCCUGGCCAGCAUGGGUGCACCCUCUAGUGAAGAUGGAAGAUCAGGACCUGGCAGCUCCCAAUUCUGAGGCAGGAGCUGAAGGGACAGGGGACAAGCCUUAUGUCAUCCAGACUAGGAACAGCUAGACACCCAAAAGGAUCAAGCAGGAGCCAUGAGAAGGGCUGGCUUACCACUGGGAGGUGCGGUGGCGGGAGACCCAGGCCCCGUGUCCCCUUGCUAAGACUGUGCCAGCCCCAGGACCCACGUGGCUGCUGGAGCCGUCGCCGUCACCGUCAUCAUGGGACAACCCCUUGUCAGGAGACGCGGCGCCAGUGCUUCCAGGAAUUGGGCUGCCAGGAGGCUGAGGGGCCAUGGGAGGUUUGUAGUCGCCUGCAGGAGCUCUGCCAGCGAUGGUUGGGGCCCUAGCGCAGCACCAAGGAGCAGAUGCUGGAGCUGGUGGUGCUGGGGCAGUUCCUGGCCAUCCUGCCCCAGAAGAUGCAGGGCUGGGAGCGGGAGUGCAGCAUGGAGACCUGCAGCAGGGCAGUGGCCAUGGCUGAGGUGUUUUGACUGGGCCUGGUGGAGAAUGAGAUGCUUCAGGUGAGAGCAUUUCACCCCCACAAUGAUGCUAUGUCCGUCUCCCUGUGUUUGGGGACGUUCCCUCCCAGCCCCAUCUCUCCCAGCAAUGUGGCUGUCUUGUCCCCAGGUCACAGUGCAUGCCAAGGUCAAGGACGUGGCCUCAGACAAGAUGGUGCCCAUUGGGGUAUUGUGGGAGGCUCUUGACCCCUGGCCUGAGCAGCCUCAGCCCUAUCCUAUGGACAUUCCUCAGGAGCAGACAGGAUGGGGUGAAACCCCAGGGGCCCAGGACGAGCUGCCUGAUGUCCCACAUCAGCUGGAGUCGGGUAAUGUGCCAGAUGCAGGGCAGGGUUUGAGUCUUGGCACCUAAAUAGCUGCCUCAGUCAGAUUGCAGGCAGACUGGACAGCCUUCUCUCUCCCUGUCUCCUGGUGUUGGAGCGAUGCAGUCGGCAUCCCAUGCAGCCUCCUUUGACUUUGCAGCCUGAGCGACCAGCAACCCAUUGACAGAAAGUUCCCACAAUAUUUUCAUUAAAAUGAAUAGGGGAAAAAACAAACACUUUUUUAAGUGUUUGUUUUUUGGUUGCAUUUAUUUUUGUGAGGAACACUCCACCCUCGACCACCACCUCCAAAAUGCGUGAUCCAAGUGAUGUUUUCCAUAAAUACCAGAAACAGCA